UUACAAGCUGAAAAUAUAAAGAUGAAGUGAGUCAUUGUCAAAAAGGAAGAAAACAGAUAGAGAAUACAUUCAAAAAAAAAGAGUAUGAACAUAUGAACACUAUAUUGUUGAACAGGAGGUAAACAGUGUUGAUCAACAAAAACUGAAGAAUUUUAAAAACGAUUUAUGUGACAGUUAAAGCACGAAAGGUUGGUGGCACCAGGAAGCAGUUGACUCAACAGCCCACCCUGCCAAUCACGUGAAUCAAAGAACAGGAAAGCGUCCAUGUUGGCGAAAUGAAGCCGACUUCUUGAGGAUGUCAUCGGAGAUUUUCCUUGGUACAAUUACCAUUGAAGGAUAUGUAUUGCACACCUCAUAUGAGUUAAAAAUAAUGUAAGUACAUAAAUUUAUAUGCUACACA